ACUGCAUCUGGAAUUUCCCACUGUCAGGAGUGCCCUUUGCUGAUUAAAAUGUCAAGUGCUGAGCAAUUCCUCAAAUCCACAGAAAUGUUAAUUUUAGGAGAAAGUUCCAUUUGUGAGGAACUCAGCCAGGAUGUUUGCUGUCAUCAGAGCACUACAGAGAAUCCAGGACCUCCUGGCACCAGUUCACAAGCAGCAGGGACUGGGGGCUGUCCAAGGGCUCUUCAGGAGGGUCUGUAAAGACUUGAGCUGAAUCUGUGAGUGAGCAAGGAGUGGGUGCUGUGAUGCCCUGGUGAGAGAUCACAUCCCAGAGGCACAGGUGGUCCUUACACUUGUUUGAGGUGGAAAUAUGCAAUUCAGUGAAUAACAAUGCUGUCUUCAGCAAGAAAGCAAAAGUCUUCACAGGGGGUUGGUGACACAUGGAUAUUGGAGACCAGGACAAGCUUCAGACAGACAGCUGGGAAAAUCAAAGUUUUAAGAGGAACUGUUUGGCUUUCAGUGGAUAAUAUAUCUAUGAAGCAUGGGAGACUUUCUGGACUCGUUGAAUUUUCAGAGGCAGCCCAGCAAGGUAUAAAAUCCUGCAUCGCUUGAGCUUCUCCUGCUACACUGGCUGGCUAUGUUGAAGAAAAAAGUUGAAAGAGCUGAAAACCAAGGAGGCACGACAUCAGACCUGAAAUUUUAGUCCUCAUCGAUCGAACAUAUAAAAUGGACCCAGCAGCCGAUGAACCGUGCCAGGGUUUAAUUCUUCAGCGCUGGAUGAUGCAGGAAUCCAGAGGCCUGAAUGCAAGCCUGAUUUGAACAGGCCAGUGCAUCUUUAGUUUCUGCGUAAGUCAAUUAGCACCCCGUAUCAAUUUGUGCUAAUUCCCAGUCUCUGCAACUUUUCCAGGCCUCUUAUGCAAAUCAGGCCUGGAAGCAAACAACAAGUGAGUGACCCAGAAGGCUGGUACGGGGCUGGGCACCAUUGUUCUCAGGCCAGGAAUUUCAGUGCCCCAUUUGUUCAUGGAGUAACUAAAAAAAAUGAGAAGCCACAAGGAUAACUACCUCUUCAGGCUUAAUUAUUGUACCCUUUGUACUGUUCUUCCCAGGGUAGAAAAAGAGGCAUUCUUGGUCCUCUCACUACAUUUAGAUUCACUGGAUUGUUUUUCACUGUUCCUGUAAAUAUAGCAGAAGAAAACUGAAACUAGAAUGACAAGAGGUUUUAAAGUCAACCCCUUUUUGUAGUCACAAAUUGUGCCAUGAAAUCAGAAAUACCCUGGUAACAUUAUUCUGGUGAUCUGGAAAAUGACUUAAAAAUGUAGCACAUUUAGGAGAUGAAUCAGGGUCCUUCAAAUGAAGAUUCAGUCAUGGAAAAUUUAGACCACACCUGUACUGAUCUGUUAAUUUAAAGGUAUUGGAGUAAAAAUGAGCUCAAGCUGCAAAACUCAAGUAGAUUUCCAACACUGUAGCUGUUCAAGGAUGCAUCCUGGAAUUUGGUGCA